GACGAACGCUGGCGGCGUGCUUAACACAUGCAAGUCGAACGGAAAGGCCCUGCUUUUGUGGGGUGCUCGAGUGGCGAACGGGUGAGUAACACGUGAGUAACCUGCCCUUGACUUUGGGAUAACUUCAGGAAACUGGGGCUAAUACCGGAUAGGAGCUCCUGCUCCAUGGGGGGGGUUGGAAAGUUUCGGCGGUUGGGGAUGGACUCGCGGCUUAUCAGCUUGUUGGUGGGGUAGUGGCUUACCAAGGCUUUGACGGGUAGCCGGCCUGAGAGGGUGACCGGCCACAUUGGGACUGAGAUACGGCCCAGACUCCUACGGGAGGCAGCAGUGGGGAAUAUUGCACAAUGGGCGGAAGCCUGAUGCAGCAACGCCGCGUGCGGGAUGACGGCCUUCGGGUUGUAAACCGCUUUCGCCUGUGACGAAGCGUGAGUGACGGUAAUGGGUAAAGAAGCACCGGCUAACUACGUG
rnacentral:rRNA from 1 species